CCUACGGGCGGCAGCAGUGAGGAAUAUUGGUCAAUGGGCGCGAGCCUGAACCAGCCAAGUCGCGUGAGGGAAGACGGUCCUAUGGAUUGUAAACCUCUGUUGUCGGGGAGCAAAAGACGCCACGCGUGGCGUUCCGAGAGUACCCGAAGAAAAAGCAUCGGCUAACUCCGUGCCAGCAGCCGCGGUAAUACGGAGGAUGCGAGCGUUAUCCGGAUUUAUUGGGUUCAAAGGGUGCGCAGGCGGAAGAUCAAGUCAGCGGGAACAUUGAGAGGCUCAACCUCUUCGAGCCGUUGAAACUGGUUUUCUUGCUUGAGCGAGAAGUAUGCGGAAUGCGUGGUGUAGCGGUGACAUGCAUAGAUCUCACGCAGAACUCCGAUUGCGACGGCAGCAUACCGGCGCUCAACUGACGCUCAUGCACGAAAGUGUGGGUAUCGAACAGGAUUAGAUACCCGAGUAGUC
rnacentral:rRNA from 1 species